CCAGCGGAGGGAUCAUUAAGGAG
rnacentral:rRNA from 1 species